UUUUUGUUCCAGGAAAUUGGACAUAGAUCACUUUAGGUGUGUAAGUGACUCUAUCACGCAAGUUAACUGAAAAAUCCAGUGCUUGGAGAAGUAACCUUUUCUUUUCAUGCACCCAAACUUUGACGUUUCCAUGGCAGGCCCAUUGGCUGGAGGUGUCUCUCGGUUGCAAUGGUGGGAGUCGGCCUUUUGCUCUCGGCAAAAGGAGCACCUGAAGGGACACUUGUCCAAGUUCCCAGUGUUGUCUUCCAAGGCUCUUUUCUCUUGGGACUCGUCAACAGGGCCGCUCUAGGAUACGAGUAAGCUCUUGGUCUUUGUAAUCUGUGCGUUUGAAGUUCUGUGUGGAAAUUUGCAAUGCUUGCACGUGGGAACUGUUGCAGUGCAUCCGCUGGUAAUAGCUGGCUGGUAAGAGGAUGUCACCAUUGUCUUUGAAAAGCUCUUAGAAGUUCCGUGUGCUUGUUUCCUCCCAGGUGUGGACUAACGACGACUCCAUUUAACUUGCUUCCAGUGGGAUGUAUCGACGGAGGAAGAGCUCUCCAGGUUCGUAAUUCACUCAAAAUCCAACUCUUGAUCAUGACUCUGAGUGAGUGCAUACAGGCCGCAUUCGGGAGCAAGGUGUUGAAUAUCGCUGGCUUGAUCACUUACGUGCUACUAGGACUGGGAGUGGUAAUCUUAGAAACGUUUAAGCCUUUCUUCUCACUCAACGUUCACGCAGUUGGGAGGUCCACUGUCUUUGCCGUGGGGUUUGUACAUUAUCAUCGUCCAGGUACGUCGGUUCUUUCCUUUCUUAGAGAGUUCUUACUGUCUGUUUUCCGAUACAGAGAUCGUCUGGGAAGGCCUGCCUCAAGGACGUUACUGGUGUUGGCACUUGGAGGCAAAUCGUCUAUGCUGUGACGCUAGUGUUGGUCGUUUUGACGCUCUUGCCGUUGUGGGAUGGCCUGGCCACCCAGCUUGGCAUUGGCAUUGGAACCCCAGACUCACUCGAUCUAUUUAUGUGAAAGCUUCCAGGAGAAACGAUGGGUUUUUUUUCUUUCCAUUUCGCGGCAAGAAACAAUUUUGCACGCAUUCGUUGACAGAGAACCUGUGUGACGAGAUUGUGGUACAAGAAAAUGAUGUGCUUGCAACUCUGCCGAUUUUGAAUUCCUUUUUGGAAAUCAAAACAAUUUACAUUCCUAUUGUCACCUUGUAAUGAGUGACGCGUUUCAAGUGGAACUGGCGUCUGGCCUGCCUCAAGGUAACUUCCUCCCUUUGUGGAGACAUGGACACUGUGGUUGUAGACAAGGAGCUUAAUCUCAACCAGAGUUGGGACUACACAGACGCGCACGACAACAUUUUCUUUCCCAGCUUUGUGAGAAACUGUCGCGGUCCCUCGCCAACAAUUUACGUGUGGGGACUCCCUUCAGGUGUCACCGAUGCAGAGCUCAUCACUCACUUUUCCCCGCAUGGCGAGAUAGCUGCCACUGAGGUGUUUGCAUCCGAGGAAGGGAAGCCGCGAGCACGAGUUCGAUUUGCUACCAAAGAACAAGCAACCGAAGCUGUCGCUUGCAAGCAGUACAGCGUCGUCAAUGGCUCCACAAUCCGGCUCGCCUUUGCGAUCAAUGGGAAACCAAAGAAAACGUCCAGCAGCAACGCAGCGGAGGCUGGAGACUAGCCGAAAGAGAAAGAGGUACUUCCAAGCUUUCAUAAAUUCAACGUGUGGACUAAACCAUACCAAUGACCAUUUCUCCUUGGUUGCAGAUGUCAACGUUUCUCUCUUGUCUCAAACAGAGAAGCUGCGAAUUGGAACUUUCUACGAUUAUGCAUCAGUGUGAUGUCCAUCAUUUUUGACUUCGCGCAGAUUAAAAGGUGUAUGUUUCGUCGCACAGCCAUCCGAGAGUUUGCCAUGGAGGGACAAUCAUCAAAGUAUCUGAUGGCUUGGCUUUUGAUAGUAACGAUCGAGCUCCACUUCUUGGCAGCGGGGUGUCGGCUGCUAGAGCACGAGAUCACGUCUCGGACAGUCGUGGAAGCUUCGGUCUAUUGCGAGAUUUGCCACGAAGGGCGCAGCAUCAAGAACAUAGCACUGCCUGGUCCGUACUAUCUCCAUCUCUAUAAGUUCCUGUCGAUGAUCACCAGUUCUAGUGGAGUUUACAUUCUCGGCAUGGUUUGAUCCAGGUGUUGUUGCGUUCCUGGAGUGCAAUGGUGCUCGUGUCAGUGGCAGUAGCACCACGGACUCGUCCGGAAAAUGAUCGGUGGAUGUUCCCAGCGGCUACAACUUGGAGAGGGAUUGCCGAGUGUCCGUGCUCGUAAAUCCGCGCUGUUUGCAAUGGGUGGUUCAUUGUCACAAGCUCGUGGGGAGUGGAGGAAGUGCCGUUGCAUACAAAUAAGCUCAAAGCUCCCAUCCGGAACAUCACUGCUCGACCAGCUGUCCCUUGAUCUUCCCAACGAACCCAAGAGCCAGCAGCACGUGGAUGUUUCGAUGGCGAUCCUCCCAUUCCUACGGGAAAGCUGCGCCAACACCGAAGUGGCUCUGGAGAUCAAGAACUUCUGUCUUGGUGUGGAUGACAACGAGGUAAUCAUCAACACCAAGGCUCUUGGAUUCUACCCAUACCGCUUCGAACUCCAUAUUAAUCCACAGCUUGGCGAGAUGGAAAAUUCUCCCAUUGCUAUCUAUGACUACAAUUUCCAUGACGGUGCUCGUGCUAAUGCCAACUCCAGCACUCUCACCACUCUCACCAAGAACAGCGAAGGUGAGCUUGGAGCUCGACUUGAUUUACAGGCAGUAAAGUUCAUAGUAAAGAAGUCGUGGGGGCAGUCACUCCAAGAGCCAAUGGACUACGAGUCCAUCAGUGUUGGAGCUCCAGGGAACAUGGCAGAGCUUGAGUGGAAAUUACUUCGCUGGAAUUGCAACGGGACGGAGUAUAAUCCAUCCAAUCCACACUCUGGGCUAAGUUCCCUCGAGGUACAUGUUAUUCCUUUGGAUUCCUUUCACUUCGUUUUCUUUGUAGGCGCCUUUCCGAGGACGACGAACAAAAAUCAGCGUGGAAGACUUUCCUGUUAUUGUGUGGCAUCUGCCUGCGAGCACGGCGUCCAAGUUUCAGCUCAAGUUCAACAUUCGUCUGGAGGCCGACAUGCAUCUCCUCUGGUACCAGAGAAGCAGCUGGAUGUGCCCAAGAGCCAAGGAGUAUAUCAGCAAGAGAGUCGAAUUUUCUCGUGAGUUUGCGGUUACCGAUGGUAAUAAAAAACGAAAGUUCUUUUUCCCUUUGUCAUUUAGACUAAAAGUUUGGCGCGAAAUGUGUACACCCCUGGUUAGGGUUAGGGCAUCCCUGGCAGAGGGAGGCGCGGUUCAAGCGCUUCCUCCGCACAGGCGCGCGCAGGUCUUGCUUCGAGACCAGACAUGGCGGGCCUCACAGUGCGCCUUCUCGAGCUAGCGGGUAAGCAAGCGUCUUGAUUCUCUUUCCUCUCAAGAUCGAGACUUGGUCAAUGCAGAAGGCAGCCAUGUCAAGAGCCUGGAGCAGGCAUCACGGAUGCGGUGGCGGCCAAGGACGCGGUGAUCCGCGAUUUUGCCAAGCGCGCACGCUGGAGGAAUUCGAGGAGUACAGGCGGCCAUCCAAGGAGAGGAAGACAAUGGACGCCGAGGUGGACGUGUCCGAGCGCGUCUCCUACGCUCACAGGAUAAGCUACACCCGAUUAUCUUCUCGGUCAGCCCCCUCAGGAGCAGCAACGCAGCCCUACCACUACAGCGACAUGGAUCUGGGCGUCUUGAAAGCUCCGGAAACCGCACCGCCACCAGCGCCAUUCCUGCCGUCGCCAACUGUGAAAAAAUCACCACCAAAAGAAGCAGCAGCAGGAAAGCUCACGCCCUCUCCACUCCGGUUACACUUCCCGGACUGCCUCCCGGAUGGAAGCCCGGAGAUCCGGUUCCACUGCCGGAAGUGGCACCGCCAGCACCAAUUCCAACAGCGUGCGCUCCAGGAGUAAUCAAGGUGCCGUUCGUGCAGCUGGAUUUAAACCCGGAGCUCGAGGACGACUACGCCUUGGACGAGGAGCAAAGCUCCGAGGAAGAGUGAGGAACCAAGUAAGUUGGCAUUCUUUCUAAGUUCUUUGAGACUUCCUUUGUACCCUCAGGCUAACCACGAUCAAAAUCAAGAAGUCUCAUGUCCUACCAGGAAGGAGAACUCGAUAUUGCAAGUUAAAAUCAAAACUUUGGGGGGAACAAAUACUCAAUUCAAAUCCGGGGGUAAGAACAGCCUUUUCCACUUACACCAGGUCUUGCGUAACCGACUUCUUAACCUUGAGCUACAGAAGCACGGACUUCACGAACGCGAAGAAAAAGCUCUCGGUUCUGCCAGAAGAGAAGAUCUACCGGAAGGGGAACUGCUGCAUCAGCGGUCUCAGUCGUUCUAAAACAUCCGACAUGAUUCAAGCACAUCGUCGCGAUCAUGCCGAGCUCCCGCGGCACCUUGACGUGAUCCGGCAGUAGCCUCAGCCGGGAUCCACGAUGGGGAGGACAUGGUUCGCCCUCCCAGCGCGACCAACCAGGUACGUUCCCAACUACCUGAACUUUCCUGUUACUGAUGAUCUCCGCCAGCAGAAGACGUCCAUGGCGGCGAUGGUGGCGGCGCGAUCGUCCAGGGGGAAACCCUCCUCGUGCUGCAAAUACCGGGCGUCCUCCACCGUGUCGACCCGGUGGCGCCGCCGCUGUGCCUGGCGCUGCGCAUCUACCUCGCCUUCGCCGCCGCCAAGUGCGUCAAGACGCUCCACUACGGCCACGAGAUCGUCCCCCGCGAUCCCCGCUCCACAAACUUGUGUAUCGAGCGCGACUGGAUCGUCCCCACUUCCCCGGUCGAACGGGUCUCUGGCAGUACGUCGUCUCUUUUUUAUCACGGCUGGUGGAAGUCUUCAGCUUGGAUUUGCCACACAGGUACAUACACCGUUUUUCAUCUCUCCUGAAACUCAUUCUUACCUGGUUUCUUGUUUUUUUGCUGUGGUUGCAAGUUUCAAAGCUUCCACCCGAAAUCGUCCAGUUCCACAGAGCCACCGGAUUUAGAUCUUGUAGUGCCUUAUGUGGAGUCAGCUCUUCGGCUCGCAUAUGGAGUGCAACUGGUUCAUGUAAGUAAUCUUUCUAAUGUUUUUGUUCCAGGAAAUUGGACAUAGAUCACCUUUAGAUGUGUAAGGACUCUUGGUAGUUUCGGUGCUAUCACGCAAGUUACAACCACGGUGCUUGGAGAAGUUACCUUUUCUUUUCAUGCACCCAAACUUUAUGGCAGGCCCAUUGGCUGGAGAAUUUCUGUCGGUUGCAAUGGUGGGAGUGGGCCUUUUGCCUUCGGCAAAAGGAGCACCUGAAGGGACACUUGUGCAAGUUCCCAGUGUUGUCUUCCAAGGCUCUUUUCUCUUGGGACUGGUCGCCAGGGCCGCUCUAGGAUACGAGUAAGCUUUUGGUCUUUGUAAUCUGGGCGUUUGUUUUGAUGAAGCUCUGUGUGGAAUUUUCCAAUGCAGUGUAUUGCACGCGGGAACUGUUGCAGUG
rnacentral:lncRNA from 1 species